CCAGCGCAUUGUGCUCCCUCUCGGCUUCAAUCAUCUCUCGGAUUCCGACCAACAUCCAGCCAUGAAGAUCUUCUUCCUUCUCUCCAUCACCUUCCUCGUUCUGCUGCUGGUGGAACCAGGUUUCACCCAAGCCAAUAUUUCACCCCGUAUUGACCACAUAUGUUUUGGGAAGGGAGGAACAUGUCAGCCUUUCCAGUGUGGUAAAAACGAAAAGGACAUCGGGAGGUGCGCAGGGCUCAGGCGUUGUUGCCGUUAAGGUGACUCUGAAGACCAGCCAUGCAAUACCUCUGAGGAAAGAACAUUUUUACUUCAACCAUGCCGUGCAUCUCUGCUUGGGAAGAAACAGCCCUGCCUGCUGCUGAAGACAAGUCUGGAAAGAUCUAUUAGAGCACAACCCUUUAUGCCUCUUUACUCAGGAGUAAGUCCUGCUGUGUUCAGCAGAGCUGACUCCUCCAUAAGUGGGUUUAGGAUUGCAGCCUGAAUUUGGCCUGCCUGCUGAAACACUCUUGCUUUUCCUUUUAAUAAAUGCAAGCAUUUGGAA